rnacentral:lncRNA from 1 species
GACUCCUUCCACGCCGCCAUGUCCACCUGCACUUCUACCGCUUUUUCCGUCUGCCGCCGCCUAUCCCCACACCCUCCCUUCUAUCUCUCGCCGUCUCUCCAAGAAACCGUGGUACCAUUGAAUCCCGAUCUGAGGUAGAGAAGGUCAGCCUCGCCCCCACUCCAACGAUUAAUUGCGAUCUGAGGUAGAGUUUGGCAUGAGGUGCCUAUUCUUGUUAUUGUGAGUAUGCUGCUUUCUUUUGACGCCAUUGUAUGCAAAGUGAUUGCUUGCAAUAGAGAGCUAUUUAAUGCUAUAAAAGAACACAAGUUGAUUAGGCCAACUUUUGCAGCUGGUUCGCGUGCAAGCAGUUCUGGCCAAUUUUUAGUGGGGACUGUGGUUUUACUUUUGAGUUAGGAGAGGAGUUGUUAUAUAUGUGUUUAGAUAUUUAAUUGUGAUAUAUAUGAUGUAUACUUAGCUUAAACAAGAAUGUGAAAAUGACGAAUUUUGUAUUAAUGUACAGAGGGAGUCGGAUCAUUUUGCUCAAUUUGUUAACUUUUUCUCAUGAUUUUUGUUGAAUUGGAGCAUGGUUGUUUCCUGCUUCUGUGGCAGUUUGAAUUCUUUUUUACAUACUCUUGGUUUGCUCUGUUUAUUAUGGGUUUGAUUGUUUUUCGACUUCUUUGAUAAA